AACGAACGCUGGCGGCAGGCCUAACACAUGCAAGUCGAGCGAGGACUUCGGUCCUAGCGGCGGACGGGUGAGUAACGCGUGGGAACGUGCCCUUUGCUUCGGAAUAGCCCUGGGAAACUGGGAGUAAUACCGGAUGAGCCCUUUGGGGGAAAGAUUUAUCGGCGAAGGAUCGGCCCGCGUUGGAUUAGGUAGUUGGUGGGGUAAUGGCCUACCAAGCCGACGAUCCAUAGCUGGUUUGAGAGGAUGAUCAGCCACACUGGGACUGAGACACGGCCCAGACUCCUACGGGAGGCAGCAGUGGGGAAUCCUAGAAAAAGGGGGAAACCCUGAUCGAGCCAUGCCGCGGUAGCGAUGAAGGCCUUAGGGUUGUAAAGCUCUUUCAGCUGGGAAGAUAAUGACGGUACCAGCAGAAGAAGCCCCGGCUAACUCCGUG
rnacentral:rRNA from 1 species